rnacentral:rRNA from 1 species
UAUGUAGGAUGCAAGCGUUGUCCGGAAUUAUUGGGCGUAAAGAGCGCGCAGGCGGUCUAUCAAGUCAGAUGUGAAAUAUCCGGGCUUAACCCGGAGGGGUCAUUUGAAACUGGUAGACUAGAGUACAGCAGAGGAUAGCGGAAUUCCCGGUGUAGUGGUGAAAUGCGUAGAUAUCGGGAGGAACACCAGUGGCGAAGGCGGCUAUCUGGGCUGAAACUGACGCUGAGGCGCGAAGGCUAGGGGAGCAAACAGG